rnacentral:rRNA from 1 species
AUUGAACGCUGGCGGCAGGCCUAACACAUGCAAGUCGAGCGAGCGGCGGACGGGUGAGUAAUGUAUGGGGACUGCCCGAUAGAGGGGGAUAACUACUGGAAACGGUAGCUAAUACCGCAUACUAUCGAAUAACCCCUAUGGGAUUUGCUAGUAGGUGAGGUAAUGGCUCACCUAGGCGACGAUCCCUAGCUGGUCUGAGAGGAUGAUCAGCCACCAUGGGACUGAGACACGGGCCAGACUCCUACGGAGGCAGCAGUGGGGAAUCUUUCACAAUGGGCGAAAGCCUGAUGCAGCAAUGCCGCGUGUAUGAAGAAGGCCCUAGGGUUGUAAAGUACUUUCAGUCGGGAGGCGUUACCGACAGAAGAAGCACCGGCUAACUCCGUGCCAGCAGCCGCGGUAAUAC